UACGUAGGGUGCAGGCGUUAAUCGGAAUUACUGGGCGUAAAGCGUGCGUAGGCGGUUUGUUAAGACAGGUGUGAAAUCCCCGGGCUUAACCUGGGAACUGCGCUUGUUACUGGCAGACUUGAGUGUGGCAGAGGGGGGUGGAAUUCCAGGUGUAGCAGUGAAAUGCGUAGAUAUCUGGAGGAACACCGAUGGCGAAGGCAGCCCCCUGGGCUAACACUGACGCUGGUGCACGAAAGCGUGGGGAGCAAACAGG
rnacentral:rRNA from 1 species